rnacentral:rRNA from 1 species
CCGCGUGAGUGAUGAAGGUUUUCGGAUCGUAAAGCUCUGUUGGUAGGGAAGAACAAGUACCGUUCGAAUAGGGCGGUACCUUGACGGUACCUAACCAGAAAGCCACGGCUAACUACGUGCCAGCAGCCGCGGUAAUACGUAGGUGGCAAGCGUUGUCCGGAAUUAUUGGGCGUAAAGGGCUCGCAGGCGGUUUCUUAAGUCUGAUGUGAAAGCCCCCGGCUCAACCGGGGAGGGUCAUUGGAAACUGGGGAACUUGAGUGCAGAAGAGGAGAGUGGAAUUCCACGUGUAGCGGUGAAAUGCGUAGAGAUGUGGAGGAACACCAGUGGCGAAGGCGACUCUCUGGUCUGUAACUGACGCUGAGGAGCGAAAGCGUGGGGAGCGAACAGGAUUAGAUACCCUGGUAGUCCACGCCGUAAACGAUGAGUGCUAAGUGUUAGGGGGUUUCCGCCCCUUAGUGCUGCAGCUAACGCAUUAAGCACUCCGCCUGGGGAGUACGGUCGCAAGACUGAAACUCAAAGGAAUUGACGGGGGCCCGCACAAGCGGUGGAGCAUGUGGUUUAAUUCGAAGCAACGCGAAGAACCUUACCAGGUCUUGACAUCCUCUGACAAUCCUAGA